rnacentral:miRNA from 1 species
UAAGUCGUCCAUGUGUGGAGCA